rnacentral:rRNA from 1 species
UACGGAAGGCAGCAGUGGGGAAUAUUGCACAAUGGGCGAAAGCCUGAUGCAGCUAUGUCGCGUGUAUGAAGAAGGCCUUAGGGUUGUAAAGUACUUUCAUCGGGGAGGAAAAACAAAACUAAUAAUUUUAUUUCUUGACGUUACCCGAAAAAGAAGCACCGGCUAACUCCGUGCCAGCAGCCGCGGUAAUACGGAGGGUGCUAGCGUUAAUCAGAAUUACUGGGCGUAAAGAGCACGUAGGUGGUUUUUUAAGUCAGAUGUGAAAUCCCUGGGCUUAACCUAGGAACUGCAUUUUGAAACUGAAAUACUAGAGUAUCGUAGAGGGAGGUAGAAUUCUAGGUGUAGCGGUGAAAUGCGUAGAUAUCUGGAGGAAUACCUGUGGCGAAAGCGGCCUCCUAAACGAAUACUGACACUGAGGUGCGAAAGCGUGGGGAGCAAACAGGGAUUAGAUACC